rfam:Pteropus alecto contig169406, whole genome shotgun sequence.
GUCUACAGCCAUGCCACCCUGAAUGAGCCCAAUCCCAUCUGAUCUUGGAAGCUAAGCAGGGUCAGGCCUAUUUAGUACUUAGAUGGGAGACCACCUAGGAAAACCAGGUGCUAUAGGCG